CUGUCCGCGCUCACAAAAAACUCUGCGCCUGUGGUAAGGUUGUGUUACGUUAAAGAAAUUAUAAGCUAUUUUUGUUAUGUGUGCAUACCUUAAAGUUCAAACGGUUACAUAAAAACUCACUGGGAACCUGCAUGCCGCUGGGCGUACUAGUUUGAAAUCAAGCACAAUACACGGAGUUUGCUUGUCAACAUCAACCAUCGCAUCCGGUCUUCCUUUCACAUCAACGCUGGACAGCGAAAACGAAAAGCGAACGAGUAGUGAAGUGACUGUCAAAGAGUCAGCACGCUGCUGACUAGAGCGAAAUCGGCCUCCAGUGCAAAAACGGUCAAUCGCAACCGGGAAAACCAUCUGCUUGCACGGCAUAGUGCAACGAAUUCGCACAAGGUGAAUCUAAAGCCUGAACAUGACAAUCAUCACCACAUGCUAAGGUGUAAUCCCGCAAUUAUUAGACCAUCGCCAUACUGAGCCGGCGGCACACGAUUUCCCCAAUCCACGAAGAACACACGUGCACCAUCCGGAACAAAGCGCCGAAGCAGCUCCAAACCAACAACCUAACCAACAAUUCCCGACGCCGUCAGACUCCGAGUUCGAAACAGAGAAAGGACUAGCUCCAACAAGCGACAGUGCCAGUCGGAACAGUCCGAAUUAGAAUCGCGUCUCGUGCAUGCGGCACCCGACACAGGAAGGAUUCCGGGUAUCACGCAGUCCACCAGUUGCGCAAAAUAGGACACCACCGCACUGUAUUGCAACAAAAAUCAUCGGUGAGUAAUGCCCGGCAACAAUGAGAGAUGCGAAUUAACGAGAUGCUUUUCUGUCAAAUUCAGUCAGAUCAAAAGGGCACGUAAAUAAUCCCCGAAGAAGGCCGACACUCUCCAGAUUGGCAUCCGGUUGCCCUCAUAAGCUGUGUGGAAUCGAAAAGCCUUCGUUACGAAGGCUUUUCUUUUUUAUUUCACAGCCUGUGAUCUUUCGUAGCGGAGACAUCUCGGACGGUGGGGAGUUUUGGUUGGUGUAGCAUUGUACGUGACGGAUCGGAGCAAGCGUUCACCACUGUGCGAAGUGCGACAGCAGCUUGGGUUCGAUAGGGAAGGACCACUUCUUCCAGCUCAGAGGCCACCAGACAAGAUAAGGAAGUACUCCGAGAAGCGGCGUCGAACGUAAGAGACCGGAGCAACGUUCACCGGCGUGUGAAGCGCGAUAGAAGUUUGGAUCGCUUUGGAAAGGACCAUUUCUUCCGGCUCAGAGGCCGCCUGUCAGGAUAGACAAUCACUCCGAGGAGCGAGGCGCCACCGCCGCAAUUUCGCUGGCGACCUCUUUUGAAGAUUUGUCGGAGCAGCGUCACGCUCGUUUCUGGCCCACACCCAGAGACAUGGAUGCCUCAAGGAAGCAGCGAGAAAGCAGGGUGCACCCAUGCAGGCGCGCGUGAGUACUAAUAUGACAAGAAGAAAAGAAGAGUGAAGAAGUAUUAGCUUAGUAGAUAGGGACUAGUAGGAGAGAAUAAGUGAUGUCCAAGUAGAUGUAAUAAAAGGUUUGCACACUAAAUAUUCUAGUUUGUGGCGUUUUCAUGUUGCUAGCCGGUCCGAUCGAAGC